UUUGAUCCUGGCUCAGGAUGAACGCUAGCGGCAGGCCUAACACAUGCAAGUCGAGGGGUAACAGAGAAGCUUGCUUCUGCUGACGACCGGCGCACGGGUGCGUAACGCGUAUAGAAUCUACCUUGUACUAAGGGAUAGCCUUUGGAAACGAAGAUUAAUACCUUAUAGUAUGAUGACUUGGCAUCAAGAUAUCAUUAAAGAUUACGGUACAAGAUGACUAUGCGUUCUAUUAGCUAGAUGGUGUGGUAACGGCACACCAUGGCAACGAUAGAUAGGGGCCCUGAGAGGGGGAUCCCCCACACUGGUACUGAGACACGGACCAGACUCCUACGGGAGGCAGCAGUGAGGAAUAUUGGACAAUGGAGGCAACUCUGAUCCAGCCAUGCCGCGUGCAGGAAGACUGCCCUAUGGGUUGUAAACUGCUUUUAUACAGGAAGAAACAGCUCUACGUGUAGAGCCUUGACGGUACUGUAAGAAUAAGGAUCGGCUAACUCCGUGCCAGCAGCCGCGGUAAUA
rnacentral:rRNA from 1 species